GCCCGCUUGGCUAAGUGGUAUAGCGUGUCACUAGUAGAUCCGCUCCUCUAAGGUUCUUCUCAAUCUCUAGAUUUCUACAUGCCAUGACAAGAUCAGCGGUUCGAUUCCGCUAGUGGGCA